rnacentral:rRNA from 1 species
CCUACGGGUGGCUGCAGUGGGGAAUAUGGGACAAUGGGGGGAACCCUGAUCCAGCCAUGCCGCGUGUGUGAAGAAGGCCCUCGGGUUGUAAAGCACUUUCAGUGAGGAAGAACGCCUGGUGGUUAAUACCCAUCAGGAAAGACAUCACUCACAGAAGAAGCACCGGCUAACUCCGUGCCAGCAGCCGCGGUAAUACGGAGGGUGCGAGCGUUAAUCGGAAUUACUGGGCGUAAAGCGCGCGUAGGUGGCUUGAUAAGCCGGUUGUGAAAGCCCCGGGCUCAACCUGGGAACGGCAUCCGGAACUGUCAAGCUAGAGUGCAGGAGAGGAAGGUAGAAUUCCCGGUGUAGCGGUGAAAUGCGUAGAGAUCGGGAGGAAUACCAGUGGCGAAGGCGGCCUUCUGGACUGACACUGACACUGAGGUGCGAAAGCGUGGGUAGCAAACAGGAUUAGAUACCCUUGUAGUC